rnacentral:rRNA from 1 species
ACGGGGUGCAGCAGGCGCGAAAACUUUGCAAUAAGCGAAAGCUUGACAGGGCUAUCCCGAGUGCCAUCCGCUGAGGAAGGCUUUUACUCAGUCUAGAAAGCUGGGGGAAUAAGGAGAGGGCAAGUCUGGUGUCAGCCGCCGCGGUAAUACCAGCUCUCCGAGUGGUGUGGAUGUUUAUUGGGCCUAAAGCAUCCGUAGCUGGCUGAGUUAGUCCUUUGUUAAAUCCACCGAAUUAAUCGUUGGAUUGCGGGGGAUACUGCUCGGCUAGGGGACGAGAGAGGCAGACGGUAUUUUCGGGGUAGGGGUGAAAUCCUAUAAUCCCGGGAAGACCACCAGUGGCGAAGGCUGUCUGCUAGAACGCGCCCGACGGUGAGGGAUGAAAGCUGGGGGAGCGAACCGGAUUAGAUACCCGGGUAGUCCCAGCUGUAAACGAUGCAGGCUAGGUGUUUGGGCGGCCACGUGCCGCUCUAGUGCCGCAGGGAAGCUGUUAAGCCUGCCGCCUGGGGAGUACGAUCGCAAGAUUGAAACUUAAAGGAAUUGGGGGGAGCAC